rnacentral:rRNA from 1 species
AGAGAUGGAUUGGUGGCCUUCGGGGAACUCUGAGACAGGUGCUGCAUGGCUGUCGUCAGCUCGUGUUGUGAAAUGUUGGGUUAAGUCCCGCAACGAGCGCAACCCUUAUCCUUUGUUGCCAGCGGUUAGCCGGGAACUCAAAGGAGACUGCCAGUGAUAAACUGGAGGAAGGUGGGGAUGACGUCAAGUCAUCAUGGCCCUUACGAGUAGGGCUACACACGUGCUACAAUGGCGCAUACAAAGAGAAGCGACCUCGCGAGAGCAAGCGGACCUCAUAAAGUGCGUCGUAGUCCGGAUUGGAGUCUGCAACUCGACUCCAUGAAGUCGGAAUCGCUAGUAAUCGUGGAUCAGAAUGCCACGGUGAAUACGUUCCCGGGCCUUGUACACACCGCCCGUCACACCAUGGGAGUGGGUUGCAAAAGAAGUAGGUAGCUUAACCUUCGGGAGGGCGCUUACCACUUUGUGAUUCAUGACUGGGGUGAAGUCGUAACAAGGUAAGCGUAGUGCU